rnacentral:rRNA from 1 species
AUUGAACGCUGGCGGCAGGCUUAACACAUGCAUGUCGAGCGGAGAUGAGGUGCUUGCACCUUAUCUUAGCGGCGGACGGGUGAGUAAUGCUUAGGAAUCUGCCUAUUAGUGGGGGACAACAUUCCGAAAGGAAUGCUAAUACCGCAUACGCCCUACGGGGGAAAGCAGGGGAUCUUCGGACCUUGCGCUAAUAGAUGAGCCUAAGUCGGAUUAGCUAGUUGGUGGGGUAAAGGCCUACCAAGGCGACGAUCUGUAGCGGGUCUGAGAGGAUGAUCCGCCACACUGGGACUGAGACACGGCCCAGACUCCUACGGGAGGCAGCAGUGGGGAAUAUUGGACAAUGGGCGGAAGCCUGAUCCAGCCAUGCCGCGUGUGUGAAGAAGGCCUUUUGGUUGUAAAGCACUUUAAGCGAGGAGGAGGCUACUUAGAUUAAUACUCUAGGAUAGUGGACGUUACUCGCAGAAUAAGCACCGGCUAACUCUGUGCCAGCAGCCGCGGUAAUACAGAGGGUGCGAGCGUUAAUCGGAUUUACUGGGCGUAAAGCGUGCGUAGGCGGCUGAUUAGUCGGAUGUGAAAUCCCUGAGCUUUUUUAGGAAUUGCAUUCGAUACUGGUCAGCUAGAGUAUGGGAGAGGAUGGUAGAAUUCCAGGUGUAGCGGUGAAAUGCGUAGAGAUCUGGAGGAAUACCGAUGGCGAAGGCAGCCAUCUGGCCUAAUACUGACGCUGAGGUACGAAAGCAUGGGGAGCAAACAGGAUUAGAUACCCUGGUAGUCCAUGCCGUAAACGAUGUCUACUAGCCGUUGGGGCCUUUGAGGCUUUAGUGGCGCAGCUAACGCGAUAAGUAGACCGCCUGGGGAGUACGGUCGCAAGACUAAAACUCAAAUGAAUUGACGGGGGCCCGCACAAGCGGUGGAGCAUGUGGUUUAAUUCGAUGCAACGCGAAGAACCUUACCUGGCCUUGACAUAGUAAGAACUUUCCAGAGAUGGAUUGGUGCCUUCGGGAACUUACAUACAGGUGCUGCAUGGCUGUCGUCAGCUCGUGUCGUGAGAUGUUGGGUUAAGUCCCGCAACGAGCGCAACCCUUUUCCUUAUUUGCCAGCGAGUAAUGUCGGGAACUUUAAGGAUACUGCCAGUGACAAACUGGAGGAAGGCGGGGACGACGUCAAGUCAUCAUGGCCCUUACGGCCAGGGCUACACACGUGCUACAAUGGUCGGUACAAAGGGUUGCUACCUAGCGAUAGGAUGCUAAUCUCAAAAAGCCGAUCGUAGUCCGGAUUGGAGUCUGCAACUCGACUCCAUGAAGUCGGAAUCGCUAGUAAUCGCGGAUCAGAAUGCCGCGGUGAAUACGUUCCCGGGCCU